AUUGAACGCUGGCGGCAUGCCUUACACAUGCAAGUCGAACGGUAACAGGUCUUCGGAUGCUGACGAGUGGCGAACGGGUGAGUAAUACAUCGGAACGUGCCCGAUCGUGGGGGAUAACGCAGCGAAAGCUGUGCUAAUACCGCAUACGAUCUACGGAUGAAAGCGGGGGAUCGCAAGACCUCGCGCGGACGGAGCGGCCGAUGGCAGAUUAGGUAGUUGGUGGGAUAAAAGCUUACCAAGCCGACGAUCUGUAGCUGGUCUGAGAGGACGACCAGCCACACUGGGACUGAGACACGGCCCAGACUCCUACGGGAGGCAGCAGUGGGGAAUUUUGGACAAUGGGCGCAAGCCUGAUCCAGCCAUGCCGCGUGCAGGAUGAAGGCCUUCGGGUUGUAAACUGCUUUUGUACGGAACGAAAAGCUCUCUCUAAUACAGGGGUGAAUGACGGUACCGUAAGAAUAAGCACCGGCUAACUACGUGCCAGCA
rnacentral:rRNA from 1 species